AUUAGUUAUAUCUAACCUAAUACUUCAUGUAUAUAACUUUUAUUAUGUUUCUAUUACCUAUAUAGGUGACUUGCUAUUUUUUAAUUGAUGUAGGAUAUCUUAGAAAAAAACAAGGCAAAUAGGGCAAAGCAAGUGAUAAAGCAUACAUCGGGAUCAAAAAGUUAUGCUCAAAUUCGAUAUGAACAGGCACAAAAGAAAGAGGAUCGAAGUGAGCCCAAUAGAAUUGAGAUGUUUGCCCUGACACACACAAGAAAAGAUGGGACGCCUGUUGAUGAUCAUUCUAAGGAGAUUAUGGAUCAAUUUCAGCAAUUACUAUCCCAACCUGAGGGGACAUCUUCUU